rnacentral:rRNA from 1 species
GGUUAAGCGACUAAGCGUACACGGUGGAUGCCCUGGCAGUCAGAGGCGAUGAAGGACGUGCUAAUCUGCGAUAAGCGUCGGUAAGGUGAUAUGAACCGUUAUAACCGGCGAUUUCCGAAUGGGGAAACCCAGUGUGUUUCGACACACUAUCAUUAACUGAAUCCAUAGGUUAAUGAGGCGAACCGGG